rnacentral:misc_RNA from 1 species
ACCGCGUCAUUUAAACUUGUUUUGACGCAAUUAAGAAAUUUAUAGUUACGUCCUACUGAAAGUCCAAGGUCUUGUUAAAAUGGUUCUAAAAACUAGUAUAAAAGACGGCAUGUAACGUACCCUUCAAUAGUUUUUUUGAAGGAAAAUAAUUCUUUGUAAUGCUUUCACUGAAACUAUGACAAGUAAGCUUGUCUUGGGUAUACAUAUUAAUGUGUUCAUCAAAGGUCUCUCGUUGUAGUCUAUAUAUCUGACAAUGUUAAUAUACUAAUGUCAUAUCAUAAUAUGACUUUGAAUGAUGAUAAUUAUUCAUAUCUCUUUACAUGUAUAUUGUGAUAUUUAACUAUGUACUCGCUCGUUAAUCUACGAUGUAUAUACAUGUAGAACGUGUUUAUUGAUGUUAAUACAUAUUCAAUCAGAAUGUUACUGAUUCUCUACUUUUACUCUUGUUUUUUAAGCUUGUGAUAUUGCAAUGUACAAUUUAAGACACAAAGUGUAAUACUUGUAUGUGCCAAAUCUUCAGAUCAAAAGAGGUUAAG